rnacentral:lncRNA from 1 species
GGCUCUUAAGUGUUCAUUAACACAUCAUCCCAGUAUUUGUUUUUUGUAUUCGCUUUAGUGUGUUUAUAUGGCAUCUAGCUCAAUGUCUUCCCGCGGGUCUGGUUCAUGGACUGCUAAACAAAACAAGGCCUUUGAGAAGGCUCUAGCAGUAUUCGACAAAGAUACCCCUGACCGGUGGCAUAAUGUUGCCAAGGCUGUUGGUGGUAAAACUGCAGAAGAAGUGAAGCAGCAUUAUCAAGUCCUUGUGGAGGAUGUCAAGCACAUUGAAAGUGGUCGUGUUCCUUACCCUAAUUACAAGACCACUGGAUGAGCAUAGCUAAGGAUGACAAAUUUAAAGCCAUGAAGCCAACCACAGACAUGAACAAGGAGCAACAAUAAAAACCAUUAUCGACUUGGAAGCAAGCACAUGUAACCAGCAAUUUGGAUAUUCCUUUUGUGUAAUUUGAUUUCUGCAAAAGUUAGGAGAAAAUCUCCCGUUUUCUUUUAUUUUUUUUUAUUGUAUAUCAGUCAUUAAGUGAAAUCAACUUCCGGUUGUUCUUAAUAUGCAAUGUAUGUGAUCAUUUGUUUUGCUUUCGAGCUUACUGAAUUGGACAACCAAAACAUAAAUAAAGCUUGGAGAAUGCGUGAACAAAGUUAGA